AGUGGCAGUGGCACAAUGCGAUGGUCAAAACCAAUGGCAUAGUAUAUUAUCACAAUUUCUUCUUAUCAGUUCAAUUGUUUUCUCAUUUCAUUUCAUGUAAUCAUAUAUUCAUGUUCUUUUUCUCUUCCAUAAUUAGUUGCUCUUUUUUAUUCAUUGAAAAAAUAAUUUGCCUAUUUAAUCAACCGGGAACCGGCAUAGAAAAUGGUCCGGUCCUCUUCUUAAAACCGCUGAUUCUCAAACCGCUGAAAAACUGGUGAACAGACCGGUAACUGGCUGGUUGGACCGUACCGGGAACCGACCGGUUCAUGUGAAACGGCGUCGUAUACGUUGCUGUUAAAAAAAAAAAACCAAAAUCCCCCCAACCCAUGCGAGUCCUCACCCGGUUACCCCCCCACCCCAAUACACACCAAACACCCCUCCUUCGACAAACACACUCACCAGCAAGCCCUAAGGGUCUCAAACCAAAAGCCCAGCCUUGUCAACAAAACCGUCGCCGCCGUCCGUGGUUGUCGGUGUCUCCGCGGCCUCCUCCUUCCCCUGUCCCAAAUCCAUAUGGCCAGACCUCUUCUAGCUCGGGCUCGGCACGUUGUCCAUUCGCCGGUGACUUCGCGGUUCGUGUUCGAGGCUUCCAGCUGCUGCACCGUCGUGUCUUCGUCAUCUCGCCGCCGUCGUCCUGCUGUCAGUGGCUCCGUGGACUGUGGUAACUAAGAAGAUUAUAGCUGCUGCAGAAAUUAUUAGAAGCACCAAAACCCCAACAACUAAUGCUACAUUGCUACUACAGGAAUAGCUACAUUGUUUUUCUUCUUCUCAAUUGUUUUGAUGUGUUGGUUGCAUGAUGAUAUAGAAUUACAUAGGUACGGAUUUUGCCCCACAAUAGCAUUUUUAGAUUAAAAUAAAUGAUUAAAAUUAGAUCAAGAAUUAAGACUAUCUUUGAACUUGUGAUUUUAAUUUACUAAUUAUUGAUUUUGAAUGUAUUAUGAUUAUUGAUUAGUGAUGUGUUGCUGAGUUGUUGUGUAAUCUUAAUGGAAUCUCCUCUUUCUCUUGAAUUUUGGAAACAACAUCAUGGGUUUGAUGACCGGUCUGGUUCUCAGAACCUUGGUCAAAACUAAUCUAAUAGUAGAGGGCCUAAUCACAGGGCUAAAAAUCUGAUUAUAGUCAAUCCCUUCCGAUUGAUGAAAGCCCUUUCCUACAAGCCUUGCUUUGUAUCUAAUUAUAGAAUUAUCAAGAGCUCUUUUGAUUGCAAACACCCAUUUGCAACCAAUGAUGGUACAUUGGAUGGAGGAUCAACAAGAGUCCAUGUGUAUCAAAACAUCAUACUCCUCCUACAUUGCCUUGAACCAGUGUGGGCAAUUAACAGCCUGUUCGACGGUUUUAGGAAUUUCCUCUGUUAAGUCAAUAUCAAGGUAAGCAGAAUUGCAUAUUUUUUGUUUUGAAAUCCCAGCUUUAUCUCUAGUAAUCAUUGAGUGAGUGUUAAGAGAAGUAUGUUUAGCAGUUUUUAAAGGAGUAGGGACUUGAACAUGUUAGAUGAACACAGAGUAAUGUAGAAAAUGAUUCAUAUUUUUGUAGGCUAAUUCCCUCACAGCUAUUCAUAAGCUCUUCUGUCGACAUUACGAGAUUUUGGUGCCGAGUAUAAAGCUGACAAAUGCGAUUUGUUUGCAGGAGGGUUCGAAAAAGUCUGACUACUAUCAUAACUUGACCAAAUACUUUUUUGAGGGAAUACAAAUUUAAAAAGCCAACAAGCAAUGAACAGCCAAAAAAAAAAUUUAAAUUGCACCAACCGGAGAAGAUGAUGAUGAGUCUGGUGUGGAUUCAGAUUAAGUAUGGUGGCUGUUUGGUUUUUGUUUGUUUUACAUUGACUGUUUCGGUUUAAAAUGUGUUUAUUUUUGUUGUUUUGCUAGACAUUUUUAAUUGUCUUUGUUUUAUGUUUAAUUAAAUUGAAUUUGUAUUGAAUUUGGAUGUGAUAUACUCUUGUUAUUCUAGUUUAUUGAAGGUUUUAAACUUCAUUUUAUUGGAAUUUAAAUUCUGAUUAUUAGGUAUAAAAAAACCGAAAAAAUUGACCGAAUCAAAUUACUGUUGGUUUGAUUCGGUUCGGUUGUUCAAACAACAGCCAACCAAAUGGCUGGUAUCAUUGUAGAACCGAUUAGGUCGGUUCGAUUGAUUUUUGGUCUAAAACCAAACUAAAUCAAACCGAUUACAUCCCUCCCCGCAAGAAUUCACGCUUAGCAUGCAACUGGUUCAUACUUUGGUUAGUUUAUAAUGGUUCAAAAUUCUACUGUUUUUGGUUUAAAAGAGUCAAU